rnacentral:rRNA from 1 species
UACGUAGGUGGCAAGCGUUGUCCGGAUUUAUUGGGCGUAAAGCGAGCGCAGGCGGAAAGAUAAGUCUGAUGUGAAAGCCCCCGGCUUAACCGAGGAAUUGCAUCGGAAACUGUGUUUCUUGAGUGCAGAAGAGGAGAGUGGAACUCCAUGUGUAGCGGUGGAAUGCGUAGAGAUCAAGAGGAAUACUCAUUGCGAAGGCGACCUGCUAGAACAUAACUGACGCUGAUGCGCGAAAGCGUGGGGAGCAAACAGG